UACAGAGGUCUCAAGCGUUGUUCGGAUUCAUUGGGCGUAAAGGGUGCGUAGGUGGCGGGGUAAGUCAGGUGUGAAAUCUCGGGGCUCAACCCCCGAAACUGCACUUGAUACUGCCUUGCUCGAGUACUGGAGAGGAGAUUGGAAUUUACGGUGUAGCAGUGAAAUGCGUAGAUAUCGUAAGGAAGACCAGUGGCGAAGGCGAAUCUCUGGACAGUUACUGACACUGAGGCACGAAGGCCAGGGGAGCAAACGGG
rnacentral:rRNA from 1 species